GCUCCAGGAGCUAUAAAUACCGAUGCCUUCCGUCGCUGGGUCCUUUCGGGAGAGACUGUCGUCCUGCGUUGUUGUUUCCAGGUCAGUGAGACCAACUCCCUGCUUCGUGGGCGCUUCAUCUGCUAUGGGAUCCGCAUUUCGUUUGGGAUUUCGAAUACAACUGGAUUGAGGAGAGAAGAGGAGCCUUACCAGCUUUGCAGUUAGCAAUGCUUUGGAGUCUUUCUUUGACAGGGAAAUUAGUAAAGUAAAAAUUAAUUCUCCAGGCAAAACUACUGGAGUGGAACCCAUUUCUUUCUCCAUGGGAAUCUUCCUGACCCAGGGAUUGAACCUAGAUCCUACUGCAUUGCAGGUAGAUUCUUUACCUUCUGAAACACCAAGUAAAAUGAGUAAUAUAUUCAUUGAACAUAAGCCUGGGAGAUUUGGAAGUGUAUAGGUACGAUAUUUAACCCCUGGAACUGCACCUUAAAACCCAUGAGUUCUAGUAUUCUUGUUGCCCAGGCACUUACUGAAAUUUACAAGAAAUGUCAGAGACCGUAUGGGCAGGUUUUAGAGUAUAGUGACCUGGAAGGAGACCUUUUCAGGUUUCCUAUCUGGUGAAAACUUGAUGUUACGACACUUAAGAUUGACCUCUUUAUCGGUCUUAAAACUGGAAAGUAGGUGCCCAUGAGAAUCUGCAUGUCUUAAAGAAAUCCAUCAAUUUCUAAUGUAAUUGUGAACUUAAAUAAAGAUGACUAUGUAUU